UACGUAGGGAGCGAGCGUUAUCCGGAUUUAUUGGGCGUAAAGCGUCCGCAGCCGGUUUAUUAAGUAAGAAAUUAAAGCCCGGGGCUUAACUCCGGUUCGUUUCUUAAACUGAUAGACUCGAGUGUGGUAGAGGCAAGUGGAAUUUCUAGUGUAGCGAUAAAAUGUGUAGAUAUUAGAAGGAACACCGGUGGCGAAGGCGACUUGCUGGGCCAUCACUGACGGUCAGGGACGAAAGCGUGGGGAGCAAAUA
rnacentral:rRNA from 1 species